GACGAACGCUGGCGGCAUGCCUAAUACAUGCAAGUCGAGCGGAAUGACGAGAGCUUGCUCUCUGAUUUUAGCGGCGGACGGGUGAGUAACACGUGGGCAACCUGCCCUACAGAUGGGGAUAACUCCGGGAAACCGGGGCUAAUACCGAAUAAUCAGUUUGUCCGCAUGGACGAACUCUGAAAGACGGUUUCGGCUGUCACUGUAGGAUGGGCCCGCGGCGCAUUAGCUAGUUGGUGGGGUAAUGGCCUACCAAGGCGACGAUGCGUAGCCGACCUGAGAGGGUGAUCGGCCACACUGGGACUGAGACACGGCCCAGACUCCUACGGGAGGCAGCAGUAGGGAAUCUUCCACAAUGGACGAAAGUCUGAUGGAGCAAUGCCGCGUGAGCGAAGAAGGUUUUCGGAUCGUAAAGCUCUGUUGUAAGGGAAGAACAAGUACGGGAGUAACUGUCCGUACCUUGACGGUACCUUAUUAGAAAGCCACGGCUAACUACGUGCCAGCCGCCGCCGUAACAC
rnacentral:rRNA from 1 species